rnacentral:rRNA from 1 species
GCUUGUCUCAAAGAUUAAGCCAUGCAUGUCUAAGUGUAAAUAAGUCUAUACUGUGAAACUGCGAAUGGCUCAUUAAAUCAGUUAUCGUUUAUUUGAUGAUCUCUUACUACUUGGAUAACCGUAGUAAUUCUAGAGCUAAUACAUGCGAAAAGUCCUGACUUCUUCGUGAGGGAGGGAUGUAUUUAUUAGAUACAAUCAAACGCACCAACAUAAAACCUUGGUGAUUCAUAAUAACUGUUCGGAUCGUAUGGCUUUUUGCCGACGACAGAUCAUUCAAAUUUCUGCCCUAUCAGCUUUCGACGGUACUGUAGUGGACUACCGUGGCAUUAACGGGUGACGGAGAAUUAGGGUUCGAUUCCGGAGAGGGAGCCUGAGAAAUGGCUACCACAUCCAAGGAAGGCAGCAGG